rnacentral:tRNA from 1 species
CCGCCUUGGCUUCGCUGGUUAGAGCGCUGCUCUCGGAAGGCAAAGGCCGAAGGUGCGAAUUCUUCAGGGGGCCA